AACUUUCAUUCUCGCCCCCGCUCUCCGCACUGCCCGGGGCGGGCGGGGCCGAAGGAGCCCGCGCGCGGGAGUCCUCAGUCACCCCCAGCGGGGGCAGGGCGCGUCCGCCUCUGCGCCUGCGCCCCUCGAGAGCUAGGACCUGGGGCGGGAGGAGGAGGAGAAGGAGGAAGGCGGGCGAACUUGGAAGCGAGCAAUGAUGGCCGCACGGUCUACGAUCUGGGUCGAGGCGGUACCGGGGAAGGGAGGGCCCACGGCUGGAAGGCAGGGCCCCGGAUCGGCCUCGGGGAGAGAAGACGGAAGUGGAGCUAGGACAAAAUGGCCGCGAAGCUUUUGUGAUCUCUGAACUACCUAGAACGUCUUAACCAUCGAGCCAGUGGAAAAAUAGAACUGGGGCCCAAAUCCCCUGGUUUGGGGUGUUCCACCAAACGGCAGUGGUUACAGAAAGCAGAACGAGUUAAUGGAAUGUGGUUUGAAACCAGCAGCAGCUCAGACUUUAUCUCAAGCCCAAAUCCUGUCAUGUCUGAACCCAAAACUGACUCAAGGAGAAGUGCACUGUCAUUGCUAAGACUCCAGCAUCUUAUCUCUCGGGAUCUUCAGGCCCUAGAAUUUCUCAGAUGGUAGGUAGUUAUCAGUUUUGUGACUUCUUUGUUGAUUUGUAUUGGAAUAGAUUUCCAAAAUAAAUACUUUGGCUAUUAAUUUAUUUGUUAUUUUAGUCUUCUGACAACCACAUGUUCAAACUACCUAAAUACUGUUUUUAUGCAAAGUGGGCUGAUCCCUGCUUUCAAAGGCAUGAGCGGGGAAACCUUAGGUUCAAAGGUAGAAAGUAAUGCUCACAGUAAAAUAGGUAGUGGUGGUAGAGCUGCAGCCUCCAUAGUGACCUGUGUGGCUCAGGUACUCUGGCAAUGAGAAUUCUUAGUAUUAUGUAGCAGAAGUAGUGAUACGUUGCUGGAUACCACCACCAGAAGAAGAAAAAGUAAAGGGAUUUUAUUUCUUACAAUGAGGCAGCAUUAGUAUGAGAAACAUUCCAAAUAUGCUAUCCCUCUUAAACUAACACCAGACAUUUUUUACACUACUUGCCAACUUUUUUUAGAGUAAGACAAAACGCAGAUGAAAACUUUCUCCCAAGGAUAAACCCCUGUUUCUUACAGGGCUUUAGAAGGAAAUGCAUUUGCUUCGUAUGAGGACACUGUGGUGAGAAUUAAAUGGAGAAAUGGAAAACCAGAGAAAUGGAGCACAACCCCAGACCGGCCUCUGCCCUGCCAGCAUCUGAUUCCCAUUUGAGAAGCACUGCCUCUUCUUUUCUAGAGCUUGCUGCCCUUUUAAUAAUAAAUCUCUUGCUCUACCAACGACUGGCUCCUUGAAGGGCUAUUUCAGGUUUUGAAUUCUUGUCAUUAGGAUGAGUUUGAGUGGCAGAGUAGUCAAAACUAUUAAAAGGGCAAGUUAUUGUAUUGGUGGGUGCUGUUAGUUUUUGUUGUUUUUUACAUUUUCUAGACAUCUUUCUUUUUCCCAUGAAGCAGCUUUUCUGAGAGCUACCCUGAUGAAUCAUUUCUGCUAAUGCUUUCCAAGAUACUGACAAUUAAAAUGUUAAUGGACACUUGCACAAACCUGUUCUGCCAUUCACUGAUUAUGCUGUCUCUUCUCGAAGUGUUAAUUCCAUCUCCUUCUACCCCAGAGCUGCACUUCCUUAGAGGCUAAGCUGGUAAAAUGUGGAAUUUCCGUCUGUCUCAACUUCUGAGGCAGGAGUGAUUUUGACAUGGGGGGCAGUUAGGAAAUGUUGGCAAUCCCUGAUCUUCCUGAUAGUGGAAGGCCUAGAAUCAUCAGGAGUCCCGGGUUCACAUCCUUUUUCUAAAACGAAAGAAAGUCGCAAGUUUGGUGCAGUUCUAAAUUUCCUUAUACCAUACUGUGACACAUUAAGAAAAUUAGUUUAAUCUCCCUAUCUAGUCUAGAAGUCUUGAAAUUCUGGUUUUAUAUGUUCUCAGAAAAACUAUAAUGGUAUGUUGGGUCUUUAAAAGAUGUUUAAAAGCAUCUUUAAAAGAUGUUACACGGAAAGACUUCUUUAUAGGGACAUUGUUAAAUGGCAUAUAGUAAAUGUUUUGUUCCUCCAGAGAUACCCAGCAGGGGAGUCCUCAGAAAUGUCUCAUUUGAGGGGAACCCACAGCUGUUCCAGGGUACAUUGCUGACAUUUGUCAGUGACCCUCUGAACAUCAUUAGGAUGAGACGUUUUUCACAGUCCUGUCACACAUUUUGGACUCUUUGUGGUUCUUUUGUAGUUCAGUAUAAGUAGGGGGAAAUUAGUGGUGGAUGGAGUGGGAGGAACUCAACUAUCGUCUUUUGUGUCCUAUCAUUUCAUUUCCCCUUGAAAUCUGUAUUUUAACCUAGUGGUAAAUGAAGUCAGGAUGAAACAGAAGACACAGUUCCUUUUUUCUCAGGACACAGUGCUGAGAGGUGUUAACGUAAGGCUGUGGGUUCCGCUCGACUCUGGAUGAUCAAUAACCCGCUUGCAGAAAGGCAUAGGAGAUCUAUGAACAAUACCUCGUUGCUUCUUGACAAUCACGAAUUGAAGUGUUGGUAGGAAACAUCUCAGGUGAGAGGUUCUUUGUGGGUUCACUUCCUCUUUCCUCCGACUUUCUCACUCCAGGCCCUGCCCACAGAUAGACAGGUUCAAACCCCUGCUUCCCCCACUCUUGGCUGAAGGCAGAAGGAGAUGCCGUUUUGGAGGCGUGGGCUCACACCUGGUUCAGUGUGCUCUAAGGAGAGUGUUCAUUUGAAUCGGCCUGGUGCAAGGCUCCCUGCUACUAGGUGACCUCUCAUAUGAUUGGGGGUGGUGUGGCUGGUGGCUGGGCUGUGAUGGCUAGAAAACUCCUAAGAUGCUGACCCCAAGGACAGCCUGGGAGUCCAAGUGCACCGUAAUUCAGACAGUUUGGAAGGGCCGGCUCUGGCUGGGGCCCGGGCUGGGUGUGGCUUCUGCCUCGGUCGGGGCUGCGGGGCGCAGGUCCUCUGGCGCCGCACCUCUGGCCCCUGGCCCCGCUCGGCCGUUCGCGCGGGGCACCGGCGGCGGCCGUGGCGCCGCCUCUGUGGACAGUGUCCGCUGGCUGCGGGAGGCGCUGUUGGCAGUGGAGCGGGUGGAGGCAGAGCCGGAGCGCGAGCUCCGGGAGCCUGAGGACGAGGAGCUGGGUUUCACCAGGCGGGCUUUGGGCGCCUCAGCGUCUUCUCUGAGGAGGAGAAACAGCGAGUGUAAAAUGUAAUGCAGGAGAUUGUGCACAUGUCCACUAUGUACGCUUCCUUCUGAGGUUCCCCAAUGAACAUAGGCAGUAAUUUAGGGACCUAGUGACUGCCCCAGUUCCUGGGACCUAAUGUUUGGCUCGGGCAAAGGGACCCUUGGUCAGCCCAGGGGUCUCAACGGCAUGUGCCUAGUGGGGUUUGUGAGUGGACCCUUCCGUGGCCCACAGGUUAUGCCCGAUGCCCCUUGAGUGAAUCGGAAGUAAUGUAAUUUCUCUUCUCCCCGAACAUCUAAUAUUUCCUAAAAGGAAACACACAUUCUCUUAUAUAAACACAUUAUAAUGAUCAAAAUCAGGAAAUUAACCACUGAUACAGCACGAUUAGCUAGCUAAUCGACCAACCUUAUUCAGGAUUCACUAAUUGUCCUAGUAACAUCUUUCACAGAAAUGAAAAUCCCAGAUCAGGCAUGACACUCCAUUGUCAGGCCCCCUCAGUCUCCCUCAGCACUUCCUCAACCUUUCCUUGUGUCUUGCGACCUCAGCGUCGUUUCUGAGCAAAGGCCAGUGUUUAUGUCUCUCCCAGGCUGGCUCUGACGCUUCCAGGGUCAGAGUCAGGCAUGCAUUUGGGUCAGGACACCAAGGGAGUGAUCUCUUCCGUCUGUGUCGAGGAUGGACGGUUUCUCAAUAAAGCCAAGGUCAGCCAGACCUUUUGUCCUAGGCUGGAGUUCCUGACCUACCAGAUUAGAUUUUUGGUUAAGAGAACAUGGGGCAUUUGUGUUGGCUGGUCACUGUGGGGCUGGCCCUGGAAGGGCAGCCGACUGGCAGAAGAGCUUGUGCGGUGAGGCUUACCGGAUCUCAUUAGGUCUCUCUUCCUCCUCAUACCGCUCUUUGUCUUUCUUUCGGAUCAGCAGCCACACCAAGAGGAAAAUCAGCAGCGCACCGGCCACCAUGCCCGUCACGGCUCCUGCAAUCAUGCCUAUGCUUUGUGCAUCUGUUUUCUCAGAAGCAAAGGCAGAAACAGAGGGGAACGUAAGCCAGGAAGUACGCGGACCUGAAAACCACAAGCCUGGACAGGACGAGGUCUUGUCCAGAAACACACUUCUUCCCAGGAAACUAGAGUAGGUGACUCUGAAUAGAAUCCAAAUACCGAGCAAGAACUUUUGUAGCACCGUGAUGCAUUUGACUGUCCCUUGCACAGACUUUAUUAAUAAGAUGUAGGCAUUUGUCACUCUUGGGUUCCAAACUAUUUUGCGGCAGAAUGGCUAAAUGCCCUAAGAAGUCGGGACCAUCGGUAAAUACAGCACCCAUUAUGGCACCUCCCUCAGGAAAAUGGUGAAGAAAAUUGAGAUCAACCAGCACACAAAGUACACUUGCUCCUUUUGUGGCAAGACCAAGAGGCGAGCUGUGGGGAUCUGGCACUGUGGUUCCUGCAUGAAAACAGUGGCUGGUGUGCCUGGACCUACACCACCACUUCUGCUGUCACGGUCAAGCCUGCCAUCAGAAGACUGAAGGAGCCCUGGCUGGUGUGGAUCAGUGGAUUGAGUGCCAGCCUGGGAACCAAAAGGUGUACCGGCCCUCGUCACUGGGCUUCAGAGGCUGAAUCUGCAAGGAAGCGUCUCCUGCCAGGAAAUUGGAAGCAAAGGCCACUCGUCCCUUCUGUUCCUCAGUCAAGUUAUUGUAGACAUGCUGGCUGGAGUACGUGAUUACCUGUGGGACAGACCAGGGCAGGGUCAAGCAGUGUGGUCUCGCCUUGCUCUCCAGCUGUCGUCAAGGCAAGGAAUGGGACUACUGCCAAUGGAACACAGCAGUCGAGCCUGGGCUGAUGCUAAGGAUCCAAGAGACCUGUUCUAAAUAAAGUUAAAGAUACAAUGUUUGUCUAGGCCCUGCUUUUCAUUUUAGGAAUAGCAACACCUCAUAUUUGUGUACCAUCUUAAUAUAAAAUAAUAAUUCCAUUAAAUGUGCAGGACCAUCCCAGUUUAGAGCUAAGGGGUUUUAAAUGUGAGUUACAUCAUUGCAGCUACCUGGAGGAAAUGCACAGGAAUGGUAUUAAGAGUCGACUCUGAGGAGACCGGAUAGAAUAGAGGGUAAGGGUGUGGAGGAAGACUUAUCUUCCCCUUUUUAACUUUUGCACAUUCCACCAAUGUCAUGUGAUUUCUCCAAAGAACAAGUUCAGUCCCGGUGCUAGUGCUUUUACAUCUCGUUUAUCUCUCCCACAAUUUUCUCAUGUAAUCCCUGUGCCCAUUUCAUAGGCAGCAGAACCUGAUCUGAGCAUGUCCAUUUGAAGCCGUCUAGUUCAUUGCUCUGGUAAGUUACCUCUGCCCCUUCCUUUUCCUACCUGUGUUUAUUUUAGUACUCAUUAACUGCUCUUCAGAAAGUUUAGAAAUGAAGGAGAAAAAUUAAACCAAAAAAAAAAAUCAACUUCUUUUGUCCUAUACAAGUUUAGAAUCCAGCUGAAGGGAUCAGAAAGCUCAGGAGGAGAAGUUAAUGGUUAAAACAUGGGUCUGUAUUGAAUGUCAACUGUAAUUGACAAAAACAAUUCAGCGGGGCGAGUGGUGAUGGAGGGAGACCUGACUUGGGGUGGUGAACACACAACACAGUGCACAGAUGAUGUGUUUUAGAAAAUCCUACCCCUGAAACCUAUAUCAUUAUUUUAACCAAUGUCACCCCAAUAAAGUCAAUAAAAAUUUUUAAAAGUUCAGGUCUAA